GACGAACGCUGGCGGCGUGCUUAACACAUGCAAGUCGAGCGGUAAGGCCCUUUCGGGGGUACGACGAGCGGCGAACGGGUGAGUAACACGUGGGUGACCUGCCCUCAGCUCUGGGAUAAGCCUGGGAAACCGGGUCUAAUACUGGAUAUGACUCCAUGACGCAUGUUGUGGGGUGGAAAGCCUUGUGCGGCUGAGGAUGGGCCCGCGGCCUAUCAGCUUGUUGGUGGGGUGANGGCCCUACCAAGGCGACGACGGGUAGCCGGCCUGAGAGGGCGACCGGCCACACUGGGACUGAGACACGGCCCAGACUCCUACGGGAGGCAGCAGUGGGGAAUCUUGCGCAGUGGGCGAAAGCCUGACGCAGCGACGCCGCGUGAGGGAUGACGGCCU
rnacentral:rRNA from 1 species